rnacentral:rRNA from 1 species
CGGCAACAGCUCAAAUUUGAAAUCUGGCCCUCGGGUCCGAAUUGUAAUUUGUAGAGGAUGCUUUUGGUGAGGUACCUUCCGAGUCCCCUGGAACGGGCCGUCAUAGAGGGUGAGAAUCCCGUAUGGGAUGGGGUGUCCGCGACCAUGUGAAGCUCCUUCGAC